AUGUUAGUAUCAGACCUUGACCUUAACACUGUACAAUGGGAAGAGUCCCAAACAUAGUAGGAGUAGUCGGAAAUUAGAGCAUCUCCAUCAGUAGUCUCUCAUAUAGUUUCUCAUUAACUAAAAAAUAUAAAAUGAUAAUAAAGUAGAAGAGAGAUUGAGAAUAGUUUCUCUGCAGAGAAACUUUAGAAUAAUGAUUAAGAGACUAUGUGUAUAUGUGUGUUUAUAAUUGGACAGAAGUUAAAUCAUAAUAAAAUAUCAU
rnacentral:sRNA from 1 species